ensembl:lncRNA
GGACAGCUGGUGAUGUCGGCGGGCUCGGUAGUUAGGAAGCCGUUGGCUCAGAAGCAGGCCGACGGGAAGGGAGCUGGCAAAGCCCGUUCGGGAAGUCGCCACCAGCUGGAAAAGCAGCCCAGCCCGAGUGUGGAGCAGAUGUGCGGCUGUGAACGGUGAAGUGUGCGGCGUGCGGCGGGGCCGUGAAUCACCGGGCGCCCCUGCUGGUCCAGCAUCGAAGUGCGCACCGUGCUCCGGGGCCCUGUCACUGGCUCCCAGCCGGCCUCGUCCUGAUGCCCCCCCACCGCCCCGACCCCGGCUGGCUGAUUGACCAGGUGCUCCCCCAGCCAAGGUUAAGGUGUCAAGUAUUUGAUGUCUGUUGUUUGUGUCUAGGUCAUAGGAGAAACCCACCUAAUAAAUGGGUCAAAGGGAGGGUGAGGACGUAUUCCUCCUAGUUUGUGCAGCAGGCGUGGCCAGAUGCGAGGGUUUUGCCGGGACCAGCCGUGCGCUUGAAGAGGAGAGGAUAGGGUCGCCAGGACCACUGGGAGUGUUUUCCUUCACCUUCUACCAAGUGUUCUCUGGUAUCGCUCUGGUAAAGGAAGACCGCAGGCAAUCCUUAGACUCUGCUAGGAAUGGACACACCUGAAAGCUGCAGCCUGGUGCAGAGGUCACCAAGCACCCUUAACUGUCGGCGUGGGCCAGCAGGCUGCUUCUCAUUGGGAACAGAUGGACCCCAGUGGGGAGUGGGCGUUCUCUUACCAGCCGUUUCUCAUUGCCCGUUUGGGGAAAUGAAAGCUUGCCGAGGUUUCUCUCUGGCUUUCCUGUUAAGAUUAGUCUCACUAGUCCUGUGACUAGUCUCUCCAAGAGUGAGAAUUCCACUCUGAGUUUUUCCAGUAUUUCUGAAAUUCCCCUCUCCUAGGUCAUGAUUGUGAAAAUAGUUCAGAAUCCUGGGUGUGACGUUUGAGCUGCCGGCUGUUUUUGCUUGUAACCUUAUCGUGAAUCUCUCUGUUUUUAGCCUCCCCUUACCCGCAGGGACCUCAUAACUCUAAGCGCUUAGUUACUAAGACAUUGACCACCGAAUGGUGACCCGCAAGCACAUUCGUACAUGUGGCUGAUGAUGGGAACAGAGCCCUUGAGAGAGCUGGACCAUUUCGGUUGCAGGGAGCCAAAGCAUAUUUUAAUACCCAGAGUAGAAAAGGGAAUACGUGCACUCCCCCAGCUGGGACAUCUCCAAGAUGCAUCAGGCGUGGUGGGAGAGGGCCUUGUGCCAACGCUGGAGGCCCGCGUCUCCCUCCACCACCCCCUUAGGUCUGACUGUGUCCCUCCUGCUGGCUGGCUUCUCGGGCAGACUUCCCCACGGGAUGAGGAUGGUGUCCGCAUGUGGCCCUGGGCAUGUGCUCUUCAGGCGUGCCUUCUCAAAGGGGGUCCUUUCCUCCCUGUCAGGCCUCGCAGAGGUGCUCACGUAGACUGCAGCCAGGGGUGACUUUGUCCCACACACAUCUGGUGAUGUCUGGAGGCACUUCUGUCAACUGAGGGGGAAGGUGGCUCCUGGCACCUGGUGGAGAGAGGCCAGGGAUGCUGCUUGCCAUGCUGCAGUGCACAGGGCGCCCCACCGUAGAGAGCGGUCCCUCCCGGCGUGUCAGGAGUGCUGGGUUGAGAACCACAAUGCCAGACCCAGCGAGUGGUCCCUCGCGUGGGUUCAGCAGUGAGCCUUCGCCGUGGGGAAAGGAGCGGGGCAAACGGGACGGUGGUGGGGACACCUGUGGGGGACAGACGGUUUUCUCAAGAGGAGGGAAUGUUGACAGACAAAAAGGAAUCUCUGGAGUUAGCUGCUAGGUGUGGGCCCCCGGGGGGCCCUUCCUGUGUGUUCUCCGGAGUAGUGAGUACGCAGCGGACGCUCCGUAGACGCUUGCUAAAAUGCGUGGAACUUGCGGAUGCAUCUGGAGCUCUUUAGGCAGGAUUGCUUAGCUCAGCAUUUACUGCUGUGGUCAGGUGUUGGGCGUUUUGGGAACAUACUGCAGAUGAAGCAAGGGUAAUUGAUGAGCUCUGAAAAGUCAUCUGAUACCGGUCAGCAGUGCCCUCCCCAGCCCCCUUUCUCCGCCUUGGUUUUGUUUGUACAAACCUUGCCGCUUUGUCAGCUAAUUUUACACCCACUCUUUUUCCCUGCCCGGUAGGUACCAUUUCUUAGUUGAACCCCCCUCCGUUUCUUCACGUGUCAUCUGCAGACCCUGAUGAUGUCUUAGGGCAAGAAGGGACUGGGAGUUACACACCCUCGUGUGAUGGAGAAAACACCGAAGUCCAGGGAAGUAAAGGACACCCCCCAAGGUCACAUAGCUGGUUUUUGGCAGGAUAAUGCUAAAAGGAGGUUUGUUUGGGACUGUUUCU